rnacentral:misc_RNA from 1 species
CUCCUCCUUACAGAGGCAGUUUGUUCCGAGUUCCCGACAUUACUCGCUGGCAACAGAACAUGAGGGUUGCGCUCGUUGCGGGACUUAACCCAACAUUUCACAACACGAGCUGACGACAGCCAUGCACCACCUGUGAUACACCUUCGAAAGCGACUGCUUUUCGGCAGCUUGCAGAUACAUGUCAAACCCAGGUAAGGUUCUUCGCGUUGCAUCGAAUUAAUCCGCAUGCUCCGCCGCUUGUGCGGGCCCCCGUCAAUUCCUUUGAGUUUUAGCCUUGCGGCCGUACUCCCCAGGCGGGGCGCUUAAUGCGUUAGCUGCGGCACAGAGAACUGGAGAGGUCCCCCACACCUAGCGCCCAACGUUUACAGCGUGGACUAC